rnacentral:rRNA from 1 species
UACGGAGGGAGCUAGCGUUGCUCGGAAUCACUGGGCGUAAAGCGCACGUAGGCGGGUUCUUAAGUCAGGGGUGAAAUCCUGGAGCUCAACUCCAGAACUGCCUUUGAUACUGGGAAUCUCGAGUCCGGGAGAGGUGAGUGGGAACUGCGAGUGUAGAGGGUGAAAUUCGUAGAUAUUCGCAAGAACACCAGUGGCGAAGGCGGCUCACUGGCCCGGUACUGACGCUGAGGUGCGAAAGCGUGGGGAGCAAACAGGG